CUUAUGAAUGGUGAUUUAUAGAGCGCAAGUAAUAGCAUGUAGGAGGUAAAGUAUUUGUCCUUGGCACUGACCUCAAAUUUUGGUUUUGGAUUUGUUCUCCAGCUGAAAGCAUAGUCAUUUGUGAUUUUUGUUACAGUCGUGUGUGGUUCAAAUGUUCAAAUCAGAUUGUGUCAUUGAAUCCAUGUCCCAUUUUGGCAUGAAGUCUGCCUGGAUUAUCUUGAAACAUUAAGUGUUAGCUGCAGCAUUGAGCUGUGGUGUUGGAUUUAGUAGAUGAGAUGUAGCUGAUGUAAAGUGAGGGUGAACUAACUCUAUGAGAAUAUACUGCCAGCACUGUAUUGACAGUCUAUCCACAAGUCUAUAUGUUAAUGAAGCUCAAGAACUCCUCUUAAACUGAUGUGAAUGUUGAAAAACUGGAAUCAUCAGGUUUGACACUAAGAGAAGACAUAAUUCCCUAUGUUCUGUAAACUAGGGACGGAUUGAUCCGAUAUCUUUGCGAUCCUGGAUUGGAUCAGUGAGCCCACUGAUUGAGCCAGUCAGUGGGGCUUGGACUCUGUUAAUUAUAUUUUCUGUUUACUCCAAAAGUGUGCAGGUUGCUAGCAGGGAAGCUAACACAUAAUGGAGGAAUGCAGGAAGUUUGUAGCAAAGGGCCAGCGGAAAUAUUUGACAUGUGCAAUAACUUUUCUUUGAAUGUUUGCAAUCGUUUUUAACUGGACUGCAAACUGUUGUCAAGCAAGUUGAUGAAAACCUUGGACACGUGUUGUUUUUUUUUUUUUUUUUUUUUUUUUUUUUUAAACGCCUUCAUUUAACUUUAACUUAACCCUGUUACUCUCCAACAUUUUCUAAUAAAUUCCAGUAAUGGUAUAUAUUUUUUCGAUGUAUUUAUUUUUUACAUUCUGUUAUAAAAAGUUAGAUCAAUUCUCUUCCUCAGAGAUAUAAAAAUGAAUGUAACCCUACUAAUGGAUCUGCACUUGGUAUUGGCAGAUACCUUUAUGUUUCAUGUAUCUGCCAAUCUUAAUGAAUCUGGAAAAAGUUGGGACUUUGCAUCCGUGCUUGAAAUGCUUUCAAGGUAAAGCGUUGUUCUUUUUUUUAAAUCACCAUGUAGAAGUCAAACACGGGGGCUGACUUGCCACGUCUGCUUUUGCUGGCCAAGACAUGACGAUCACUGCUAGGAGAGACUAUUUAGCAAAAUAGUUGAGUUUAUUUAGGUAUUUCAUUGCUCUUAGCUGAGUACCUGUGCCAUUGAUAAUGUUUAUUCGGACAUAGCGGAGCUGGACUACCAAGCCCAUAGUUCACUGAGUUCCCAG
ensembl:lncRNA